AAUAGAUACCCGGGUAGUCCACGCCGUAAACGAUGAGUGCUAAGUGUUAGAGGGCUUCCGCCCUUUAGUGCUGCAGCUAACGCAUUAAGCACUCCGCCUGGGGAGUACGGCCGCAAGGCUGAAACUCAAAGGAAUUGACGGGGGCCCGCACAAGCGGUGGAGCAUGUGGUUUAAUUCGAAGCAACGCGAAGAACCUUACCAGGUCUUGACAUCCUUCGCUACCUCUAGAGAUAGAGGGUUCCCCUUUGGGGGACGGAGUGACAGGUGGUGCAUGGUUGUCGUCAGCUCGUGUCGUGAGAUGUUGGGUUAAGUCCCGCAACGGGCGCAACCCUUGACCUUAGUUGCCAGCAUUCAGUUGGGCACUCUAAGGUGACUGCCGGUGACAAACCGGAGGAAGGUGGGGAUGACGUCAAAUCAUCAUGCCCCUUAUGACCUGGGCUACACACGUGCUACAAUGGAUGGUACAAAGGGUCGCGAAACCGCGAGGUGGAGCCAAUCCCAAAAAACCAUUCUCAGUUCGGAUUGCAGG
rnacentral:rRNA from 1 species